UACGUAGGGAGCGAGCGUUAUCCGGAUUCAUUGGGCGUAAAGCGCGCGUAGGCGGCUGCCUAAGCGGAACCUCUAAUCCCGGGGCUCAACCUCGGGCCGGGUUCCGAACUGGGCGGCUCGAGUGCGGUAGAGGCAGGCGGAAUUCCCGGUGUAGCGGUGGAAUGCGCAGAUAUCGGGAAGAACACCGAUGGCGAAGGCAGCCUGCUGGGCCGUCACUGACGCUGAGGCGCGAAAGCUGGGAGAGCGAACAGG
rnacentral:rRNA from 1 species